rnacentral:lncRNA from 1 species
AAUGGAUCCAGGAACUGCACAGGAGCGAGCACAGAGCCCUCACCCGGCCCAGAGCACCUUUCACCUGCACCUGCACGCAGACAGGUUUCAUUCAGAGGGACAGGGGAAAUGAGGGACUAGGGGGAAAAGGAGCCGUGGUAGGGAGACUCUUGCACGGGCAAAGACUGGGAGGAUUGCGAGUUGGAACCCAGCAUGGGGAACUUAAGGAGACCUUGUUUCCAUAUAAAACAUAAAAAGGACUAGGGGUGUAGCUCAGGAUGAAGGGCCUGGGUUCACUCUCUAGUACAAAAACCAGAAGCAAAAACUACAAUUUUUCUUUCUUUUUUUUUUUUUUUUUGGUACCAGGGAUUGAACUUGGGUCCUUGCGCUUGCAAGGCAGGCAGCGGAACCACUGAGCUAAAUCCCCGGCCCAAAAACUACAAUUUUGUAGAUAAGGCUGCAGGAUACGACGCCGUCGAAGGCUUCUCCGCACCACUGGAGGAUCUGCCGCAGGCGCGUGCGGGUGCUGCCCGCCUGCCUGGCUCUCCCGAUCAGGGCUGAGUAAGUGGCGAAGAGGACGCCCUCUGAGGUAGUGUUGUCGCCGUACUUGAUCUGUGGACACAGGGCAGGCGUGGGGACCUCAGUUCCCUGUGGGUUGAGAACUGGGCAUGGCAGGCGCGGCCUCCUGUCCACCUACCUUGCUCAGCGCAUGCACUGCGAUGCCGGGGCCUCAAUGUCCCGCAGGUCGCGCUCUGCAUCGUACUUGAGGUCAUUGAGACGCUGAACCUGGGGGCAGCAGCUGGGUCAGGGGGCGCCCCACCCCCACUCCCUAGCUGGCUCCCGACCCUCACCCCGUGGGGCAGCUCACCACAGGGCCUUCUUUCUGCCGCGUAUGUAGUUCUCUACGAUGAUACCGGCCACCGUGCGGCCCUUGCCGACGCCGGCCCCAUCGCCGAUGAGGAAACCCGCGCGCUGACCACUGGGCAGCAAGAUCUCGUGUUGCUGCGGCCAGAGGGGUCAGUCAGGCCUGGCCUGUCACUUCCCCAGCAACCCCCAGCCUUGUGGGGACUGAGCACGGGUGGAGUCGGGGCAGGUCACCUGGCAGGCAUAGGUGAUGGCCUCCAGCUGCAGGGCAGACAGGGCCACGCUGUCCGAGGUGGGCAAUGCGAGGGUGUAGGUAAUGUCCGGUGGGGGGACACUGGACAGAGUGCUGGUCUCCACCACUCGGUCCGGAUGCUGCUUCCCGAUCUUGGCUGGAGGGGCAGAGGGUGAGGUCAGGAGGUGGGCGUGGCCAGGGUGGGCAUGGCAGGAAGGUCUCCAUGAAGGGACAGAGUGGCCAAGAACCCCACCCCAGGGACCUGGGGACCCCAUGCCCUCAAUGGCUCUUGGUGGGGAAGUCUCCUGGAGGGGUCUCAUCUGCAUGAGAAGGAGGAAGUCUGAGCGUCCUCGCCAGCCUGGGCCACUCACACUUGGAGGGCACAUAGUCAGCGUAGGUCUCCGUGUGGCCCAGCUCCUCCGCUUCUUCUUCCUCCUCGUCCUCCACCUCAUCCUCAGGCUGACUUUGGGACUGCAAGGGGGCCGAAAUCCAGGCAUCAGUUCUGCCCUGUGUUCACCUGGCACCCCUCCCAGGUGGUGGCCCGGCAACCCCUGGGGCCUCCUUGGGACUUUGGCUUCCUCAUUUGUACAGUGGGGUGCUCCCUGCUUCCGGGUACCCACACUCUGGCAUGCUGGAGGUGCGCAGCUUCCAAGACCUCACCUAGGCUCCAGGACACACAGAUUGGGGAGGGGACCAAGCCAGGGGACCAGGCUGACCUGGUAGCUGACGAGAAGGGAGGUGCUGGGCAAGGAGGUCACAGGGUCCUCAAGGCCUGGGAAUGGUCCACCCGGCAGGAACAGCUGAGAGGAGGGCGGGACAUCAGCCAAGGCGGGAAGGUGCUCCGUAAUUCUGACAGACAGCAACACCCUCCCGGGGGCCUGCCAGAGGGGCUACAGGAGGCUGUGCAGGACCUGCCAGCUGAGACCCGCCCUGUGCUGGGCCUUCGGGGACAUGGGUAACCUGGGGGGGGUGAAAGCCAGAGGGACCAUCUAGUCUUGUGGGCCUGGCCUGAGAGCUGGGCCACUGGCCCCUGUGACCAGACCCUGUGGUGACACUGGCCUCUCAUUUGGCUGGGCCUGGCACAUGGGGCCAAUUAAUGUGGUGUCCAGUGGCUGUGGGCUCCUAAGCUCCCUAGUGCCCCUGUGGUGCUCUCCGUCACACCACUGAGUGUUCUCCCGGAGUGGCAGGUCCUCUGGGGGGGACAGAAUUUCGCCCUGUCAGAUUGACCAGAGCAAAAGACUGUCCCAGACCACUGUGCACACUGGGAGAUGGGCAGCCCAUCUCAUCUGGGCAGGGGAUGGAGGGCAGGGUGCAGAGAGCUGGCAGGCAGGACAGGUCUGGGCUCUGGAAGAAGCCUGUGUGCCGGUGGGGUGCAGGGGGACACAGUCAGAUCCUGGGGUCUGAGAAGUGAUUGGGCAUCCAAAGCCUGUGGAUGGGCAGGAAAACACCUGUCCUACUCCACCAACCCCUGAGCAGCGUGGUCAUCAAUGUCCAAACCACAGCACUGAGGCUAGGGAGGCCAAAGACCCACACUGAGGACACAGCGGUGUCCAGACCAGGUUCUGUGUGACCCUAAAAUAUGGCUUUGGUUUGAAAAAAAAAAAACACUGGGCAUGGCAGAGCCCACUUGUAAUCCCAGCAAUCUGAGAAGCUGAGACAAUAGGAUUGAAAAUUCAAGCCCAGUCUGGACAAUUUAGAGAUUUAGAACAUGUCUCCAAAUUUAAAAAUACAUAAAUAAAAAGGGUUGGAGCUGGGGAUAGUGGGGCACGCCUGUAAUCCCAGCACCUGGGAGGCUGAAGCAAGAGGAUCACUGCAUGUUCGAGGCCAGCUUGGGCUACACAGUGAGUUCAAGCCAGCCUGAACUAAAUAGUGAGAACCUGUCUCAAAAAAAAAAUUAAAAAAAAUAAAAAAGGAGGGUGUAGAUCAGUCCUUAGUAACAAACCAAAGGAAAACCGGAGAGGGAGGGUGGCUCCUAAUCCCCACCUGCACUUGGACGCCUACCCGCAGUCAAGGUGGGUUUUUCAUAUGAGCUGCAAGAGCUGGAGUGACAGGUACGGCUGAAGCCCACAGCACCUGCCUGUGUGACUACAGGGGUUCUCGGGCUCUGUCAAAUGGUGACCGACUCUCAUGACUCCUGCUUUUGUCAAGAUUAGGAACACAGCCAGGGGGUUCUGAAAGAGGUCAGCAUGGAAGCCAGGCCCCGGAAGGUUACCAGGUCCAUGCUCAGCCCUCCCGCUCUGGGUUGUUUUUUUGUCGUUUUUUUUUUAAGUUAACAAAAUCCAAACAGACUCGUUGGUUCCUGGAAGGCUGAGUCACGUUCCCGGCCAGGCCAGGCAGCUCUGGGUGUUGGGUUUCAGAUGCCCUCACACCAUCCAGUGCAGGCCAGCUGGGCCUUAGGCAGGGCUGGCAGUGUCCCACUGGGCCGAGAUUCCAAAGGGGACAGGCCUGAGUGGCCCCAAGAAGAUGUGGGGGCCAGGGCCAGUACCCAGUGCCCCCCCCAUACUGCCACAUGCUGGACCCAACCCCAUCUUUGCCUGUCACCUCUGUUGUCUUGGGUGGGGAGCACUGAGACUCACCCCAGGUACAUCCUUCUCAGCAUGGGGGGAGGCUGUAUACCCCCAACCUGGGGCUCCCCAGAUAUAUUCCUAACACACACCCCAAUCCUAGAAGCUUCUCUGGACACAGGACCCUGGAAAGGCCUGGAUGGGGUCCUUCUCUCCACAAUGGUGAAAUUAGGUGGCUUAGCCAGGCAGGUAGCAGACACUUUGUCAUCCUAGCAUUCAGGAGGCUGAGGCAGGAGGAUCACUGUGAGUUCAAGGCCAGCCUGGGCUACACAGUAAGUUCAAGGCCAACUAUAUAGCAAAGCCUUGUCUCAAAAAACCAAACCCUAGCAUUUGGGAGGUUAGGGCAGGAGGAUUGCUGUGAGUUCAAAGCCAGCUUGAGCUACAUAAGGAGACCCUGUCUCAAAAAACAAACAAAAAACCAAACCAAAAGGGGGGGGGGUGACACCUGUUCUCUGGAGUGGGUGUCCUGUGCAUUGCAGGGUGCUGAGCAGUGUCUCUGGCUUCUACUAGUUCCACACCAGGCGUUCCACCAGUGCUACAGCCACACACAUCUCCAGACACUGCCCAGGGCGUGGGGGGCCAAAGAGCCUGGGGUAAGAAUUUGUAACCAAAACUGCUUUUGUUGGGGGUGGGGAGGGGAGUUUGAGACAAGGUCUCGCUAUGUAGCCCAGGCUGGCCUUGAGCUCAUAAUCCUCCUGCCUUGUCCUCAGAAAGCUAGUAUUACAGGUACGCCCCACCAAACCUGGCUCAAAAAUGGAUUUUUGCUUCUCUACUGGGUACACCUGUUCACAGCAGAGGAGGGCUAGACAUUUGUCAGAGAGGGGUGGGGGCCACGGAAUUCAAGGGCUUCGGGGAGGCGACCCCAUCCCUGGGCUGCACAGGAUACAUGAGCACAUACAUCUGUGAGCGGCUGUGGCCCCUCAUGCCCCCGCCUGGCCUAGGGGUGGCUCUGGUUGGGGUGCCUGCACACUAACCUUGUCAUGGGUAGAUGAGGCAGUGCUCACGUCCCAGAUGGUGGGCACCUGGCUAAGGCUGUCUGCUGGCAGAAAAUCAGGUGUGUCCACGAUGUCCGACAGGGAAUCCACUGAUGAGGAGAAGAUGGAGGCAUUGGAGAGGUCUUCGAAGUAGGAGUCCUGGAAAACAGGCCUUGGUGAGGAGGCGGCCAGGUGUGCAGGGUGGGGGGCAAAGAGCGCUGAGGUCCAACCAUGUGGUGGAAUAUUACUCAGCCAGAAAAAGGAGUGAGGCUGACACUCAACACAGUGUGGAUGGACCUUGAGGACACCAUGCUCGGCGAGGAACGCCAGACAGAAGGACACACAGUGUGGGCUCCAUGGACAGGAAAUGCCUAGGACAGGCAACUCCAGAGACAGGAAGUGGAUCUGUGGGUGCUGUGGCUGGAGAUGGGAUGGGGGUGAUAGGUCAUGGGGAACCGAAAAACGGGCGAUGAAAGUGUUCUCAAACUGUUGCUUACAGAGCCAUGAAUACAUUAAAAUUACUGAAUUAUGUGUUUUAAACAAAUGAAUUAUAUAUGAAUUACAUCUCAAUCAAGUUAUCUAAAAGAAAAAAAAACAACCAAGACUCCAAGUCUGCAAAGCCCGGCACAGGGAGCAGCUCAGCAGGGGUGAGGGUGGACAAGGGGACCC